rnacentral:rRNA from 1 species
GACGAACGCUGGCGGCGUGCUUAACACAUGCAAGUCGAACGGUGAAGGGACCGGUCUUUGCUGGUUCUGGAUGAGUGGCGAACGGGUGAGUAACACGUGAGUAACCUGCCCCCUUCUUCUGGAUAACCGCAUGAAAGUGUGGCUAAUACGGGAUAUUCUGCGCCUGCUGCAUGGUGGGUGUGGGAAAGAUAUUGUUUCGGUGGGGGAUGGGCUCGCGGCCUAUCAGCUUGUUGGUGGGGUGAUGGCCUACCAAGGCGGUGACGGGUAGCCGGCCUGAGAGGGUGGACGGUCACACUGGGACUGAGACACGGCCCAGACUCCUACGGGAGGCAGCAGUGGGGAAUAUUGCACAAUGGGCGCAAGCCUGAUGCAGCGACGCCGCGUGAGGGAUGGAGGCCUUCGGGUUGUAAACCUCUUUCGCCAGUGAAGCAGGCCUGUCCCUUUUGUGGGUGGGUUGACGGUAGCUGGAUAAGAAGCGCCGGCUAACUACGUG